UUGAAAAUAAUUACAGGUGACA
rnacentral:piRNA from 1 species